GGCUUCCUAGCGCUUACCAAGAGCUGUUUGAUUACAAUAAUGGUACAGAAAGAGGAGGCAGAAGACAUCAAUCUCUUCCAUAUACACCUCAGCCAAGGCCCUUUGCCUGAUUUGUAUUGUGAAUAGGGAGAUACGG
rnacentral:snoRNA from 1 species